CCUACGGGAGGCUGCAGUGGGGAAUAUUGGACAAUGGGCGAAAGCCUGAUCCAGCCAUGCCGCGUGUGUGAAGAAGGCCUUCGGGUUGUAAAGCACUUUCAGUGGGGAAGAAAGCCUUGGGGCUAAUACCCUCGAGGAAGGACAUCACCCACAGAAGAAGCACCGGCUAACUCCGUGCCAGCAGCCGCGGUAAUACGGAGGGUGCGAGCGUUAAUCGGAAUUACUGGGCGUAAAGCGCGCGUAGGCGGUCUGAUAAGCCGGUUGUGAAAGCCCCGGGCUCAACCUGGGAACGGCAUCCGGAACUGUCAGGCUAGAGAGCAGGAGAGGAAGGUAGAAUUCCCGGUGUAGCGGUGAAAUGCGUAGAGAUCGGGAGGAAUACCAGUGGCGAAGGCGGCCUUCUGGACUGACACUGACGCUGAGGUGCGAAAGCGUGGGUAGCAAACAGGAUUAGAUACCCGAGUAGUC
rnacentral:rRNA from 1 species